GACGAACGCUGGCGGCGUGCCUAAUACAUGCAAGUCGAGCGGACGGAUGGGAGCUUGCUCCCAGACCGUCAGCGGCGGACGGGUGAGUAACACGUGGGCAACCUGCCUGUAAGACUGGGAUAACUCCGGGAAACCGGGGCUAAUACCGGAUAACUCUUUCCCUCACUUGAGGGAAAGCUGAAAGAUGGCAUUUCGCUAUCACUUACAGAUGGGCCCGCGGCGCAUUAGCUAGUUGGUGAGGUAACGGCUCACCAAGGCGACGAUGCGUAGCCGACCUGAGAGGGGGAUCGGCCACACUGGAACGGGGACACGGCCAAGACUCCUACGGGAGGCAGCAGAAGGGAAUCUUCCGCAAUGGACGAAAGUCUGACGGAGCAACGCCGCGUGAGUGAUGAAGGUGUUCGGAUCGUAAAACUCUGUUGUAAGGGAAGAACAAGUACCGGAGUAACUGCCGGUACCUUGACGGUACCUGACCAGAAAGCCACGGCUAACUACGUG
rnacentral:rRNA from 1 species